UACGGAGGGUGCAAGCGUUAUCCGGAUUUACUGGGUUUAAAGGGAGCGUAGGUGGGUCGGUAAGUCAGUGGUGAAAUCUUCGAGCUUAACUCGGAAACUGCCAUUGAUACUAUCGAUCUUGAAUUAUCUGGAGGUAAGCGGAAUAUGUCAUGUAGCGGUGAAAUGCUUAGAUAUGACAUAGAACACCCAUGCGAAGGCAGCUUACUACGGAUAUAUUGACACUGAGGCUCGAAAGCGUGGGGAUCAAACAGG
rnacentral:rRNA from 1 species